AUUGAACGCUGGCGGCAGGCCUAACACAUGCAAGUCGAGCGGAUGAAGGGAGCUUGCUCCUGGAUUCAGCGGCGGACGGGUGAGUAAUGCCUAGGAAUCUGCCUGGUAGUGGGGGAUAACGUCCGGAAACGGGCGCUAAUACCGCAUACGUCCUGAGGGAGAAAGAGGGGGAUCUUCGGACCUCACGCUAUCAGAUGUGCCUAGGUCGGCUUAGCUAGUUGGUGGGGUAAAGGCCGACCACGGCGACGAGCCGUAUCUGGGCUGCGAGGAUGAUCAGUCACACUGGGACUGAGGGACGGUCCAGAAUCCUACGGGAGGCAGCAGUGGGGAAUAUUGGAGAAUGGGCGAAAGCCUGAUCCAGCCAUGCCGCGUGUGUGAAGAAGGUCUUCGGAUUGUAAAGCACUUUAAGUUGGGAGGAAGGGCAGUAAGUUAAUACAUUGCUGUUUUGACGUUACCAACAGAAUAAGCACCGGCUAACUUCGUG
rnacentral:rRNA from 1 species